UUUCUGUUGAUAAUGGCACACUUAAUGCGCCCUAGUGAAAACAUAAAAUGAAGGACCAGAAGAACCACACUGGGAUUCCAACCAUGACUCUUUCUUACUUCACAGAUGAAAGUGAUUGUGGAAGUGUUUAAAAACAUUGGAGCAUCUAGAAGCUUCUAGAAGAGCAACAUGGUAUUUGACUCAUCUUGGUAAAUAAAAUAAAUGUUACUUGUCUGGCAAAGAGCAAUGCUCUAGGAAUGGAAAAGGAUGGUAUCACCAGUCAAGUCUUAACUUUUCACGUCUUAUUCAUUCAAACUGCUUUUCAGGUACUAAAGCAUUUGCCUGAGCAAAGAAUUCUACAGAUCCCUUCAUCUUGUAGGAACAACCUAAAAAAUGACCAGGAAGGCAAAAAGAGCAUGCCUUAACAAAGUUUAUCUUCUAUUCUGAAUGGCUGCCAAUUAACCUCACUUAGAACUCCUUAGAACAUAAAGUGAUCUGCUGAGUUCAUCCAGAGGAUCUACAAAAGAAAACGAAGCCACUGGACACUUAUAGUUGAUGUCCAAGGUCCAAGGAAGGCAUGGGCUAUGCUUCAGUCAUACAGUUCAAGAAUUUGUUACAAAAUUGCAUAUUGAUUUGGAUACAAAGUGAAAAACUUGGAAAAAGAAGAUGAGUUUUAAAGCAAAAAGCCCUGGGAUAAUGUUUAUUAUAUUUUUUCUAUUUGAUUCUAGACAUUUUUAAAUGAUGCCCAAUAUUUAUGAAUUUCAGUUCAAUCUUACACAUUAUUUGUAUGUUCUGAAAGGAAAUGACUGGCCAUGAUUUGAGAGAUGUUGGAAAAUGGAAAAUAUUCUUCAAUACAAUAUAAAUUUAUUUAAUAAGAA